GCCUGUUUGGCUCAGUCGAUAGAGCAUCAGCCUGCAAACUGAAAUGUCCCAGGUUCGAUUCCGGUCAAAGGCA
rfam:Myotis davidii contig42271, whole genome shotgun sequence.